rnacentral:lncRNA from 1 species
AGUAAUUGCAUGAGAUGGAGGAAACUUAAUCAGAAGGACGAGAAAACAUAUAACUUGAACCGUUUAUUUGGGUGCAAUUUGGUCCAUCACAUUUUACUGGAAGCAGGAAGAAAUUUGGUAUGUCGUCCCUGGGCAAAAAUUUUACCAGUUUUUUUCUUCUUGAACUCUACGCUUAUAACAGCAACAACCUUCCCAACACGCAGUGCUCUGGCCUCGAUCUCAAUCUCCUCCUUACACAACAAUGUAAAAGUAUUAUUACUGCAGUAAUAUUCUUGCAUUAAAUCCAUUAUCAGAAACCACAAUAACAACUCCUUAAAUUCCACUCCUCCAAAUACAUGUUUGAAACAAUCAGAGUGGUAUUGCAAUAAUUCAAAGAAUACUUCAUGCAACCAAUCAAGUUCUCCAACACACAACACCCUCACCUACCUAACAUAGAAAAGGCAGAAAUAAAGAUUUUUACUUUUCAGCUGAUCAUUUGCAAAAUAGUUCCCAAACAUUCAGGAAGUUAAGGUGGCCAAGUCUAGAACUUGAGCAACAUGUUUGGUCAAAACUACACAUUUCAGCAACCAAGUCUCGGAAAUUCAAAACCCACAUCCCGUUUACCCCCUUCACCCCGAAUACACACUAAACUAAUGUUCUUCUAACGGCACUGUUACUCAAUUCAACACAACGUGAGAGAAAGUCCAAGGAAGAAACACCAAAGAUGACCCCUUGCAUUUUGAAGAGCAAUUAAAGGAACAAAAAUCAGUCACUCAAACCAAUAAAUGUUACUAUGAUUCAUUUAUCAAGUAAAUGGAUCAUUAUAACAAAUAUCAAAUCAAUAAUCAAAGGAGAUAGAUAGUUUGGUGAGAUACAUCGACAUAGGCAGCAUCCAAGUAGGAAACAUUAAUCUCAACGGAAACCCCCGUAUUGGGACCUGAAUACCCAACGGUGGGAAUCACGGCGGAACCCACCACAUCCACCAGCGCAGCGGCGGCACCACCGUGCAACGUAUUGCCGGCGUUCUCCACAAACAAAAUCCAAAAAGAGAAUUAAAACGAGAAAAUAAAAAUACAAAAAUAAAAACAAAGAAGAAAAAGGCGUGAGCGAGUACACGUACGAGUAAACGUUGAGGUAUCUUCAUGGAACAGAGAAUGCGACCAGGUUCGAUGAGAUCAACCUUAAGCGAAUUCAUUAUUAGGGGUUCCAGAAACCUUGGUGGCAACCCAUCAACCUCCGAUGAUGAUCCCACUCCUUUCUCCAAGUACCUCUUCACUGCUUCCAACUCCAUUUUCAC